rnacentral:rRNA from 1 species
GUUGACCUCGGAUCAAGUAGGGGAUACCCGCUGAACUUAAGCAUAUCC